CUACACAGCAUCUAGACAGACUCCUCCCUCAACGUGAACUUGGCUUCUUUGUCUAUUUUCUGGCUGGCUAUUGCUGAAAAGCAGCAGGAAUCAUGUUAAGUGGUACAUUAUAAGGGUGUCUUUCUUGAACUAAAGAAAACAGAAUGGAAUGAGUUGAUAUGAGUCAAAAAAUACUCAGCAGCAAGUACACAAGAGACAUGAUGAGCCAAUUCCCUGUGUCCUUUUGGAAGUAAAAAUAGACAAAAAGAAAUAAAUAAGGGAAGAAAGAAACAAAACAAAGGACGAAAGAAAUAGAUGACUCAUAUCCUUAGAGAUUUAAUUUAAAAGAGACUCCAUGUAUUAAAGCAUGGAAACUGAAUUGUAAAAGGGGAAGAUUCCUGAAGAAGCCUGCAGGAUAAAAUGGCGGUCGGCAUAUGGUGGAGUGGCGGUGAUGGAAAGUAGUGUACUGAGGAAUAAAGGUUAUGUGUUACCGAACUUUGUGGUCAAUGGGAGGUGGGCAGUUAGGAAGAGGGAUCAAGAAAACAUGUCUCCAGGCUUCCUUCCGGUACAAAUGAGUGGGCAGCAGUGUCUCUCACACACAAUAC